rnacentral:rRNA from 1 species
GACGAACGCUGGCGGCGUGCUUAACACAUGCAGGUCGAACGGAAAGGCCCUGCUUUUGUGGGGUGCUCGAGUGGCGAACGGGUGAGUAACACGUGAGUAACCUGCCCUUGACUUUGGGAUAACUUCAGGAAACUGGGGCUAAUACCGGAAAGGAGCUCCUGCUGCAUGGUGGGGGUUGGAAAGUUUCGGCGGUUGGGGAUGGACUCGCGGCUUAUCAGCUUGUUGGUGGGGUAGUGGCUUACCAAGGCUUUGACGGGUAGCCGGCCUGAGAGGGUGACCGGCCACAUUGGGACUGAGAUACGGCCCAGACUCCUACGGGAGGCAGCAGUGGGGAAUAUUGCACAAUGGGCGGAAGCCUGAUGCAGCAACGCCGCGUGCGGGAUGACGGCCUUCGGGUUGUAAACCGCUUUCGCCUGUGACGAAGCGUGAGUGACGGUAAUGGGUAAAGAAGCACCGGCUAACUACGUG